GGUCACAUCUUCUGUUUUACAUCAAGACUGAAUCGGCUCAUGUUGUUUCUUCAUUAAUUUAAAUCUAAGAUGUUUUUGUGUUAAGUGAGAAGACAUCAAUCGGCUUUUGGUGUAAAGCUUCACUCCAGGAGGUCUUGUAUUCUGACGUCUCUCAAGCCCACCUGCUCGCUCCGCUCUGCUCUUCUGCUCUGUAGACAUUUCUAGAUGUUUUCACGUUGACACUUGGUGGCCAAUGCCGUCCACUUCCUGCUCAGUCAUCACAUCUCCAGCAUGUCAGCCAUUUCUAACUCACAAAGGCUCAUCUCUCAGUCACAAUGGACGUCAGACUUGUUGUGAUUCUCUCCAUCUUUAUAACAUGUGUUGUCCCCAGGCUCAUCUCUCCAGGGUCCCCAGAAGUGAUUGAAUGUGACCUGAGAAAUGCCAGUGUGGUCAUCUGGUACCGGCAGUACCCUGGGCAGCCCCCGGUGGCUUUAGGGUUCUAUGACAACAAGUCACCUCUUCCACCAACGAUGUUCAUUGACUAUUUUAAUGGAGUCUUUUCUUAUUCCAAAGAGACUGCGACUUUAACAUUUAAAAAUGUCACCAAAAGUGACGCUGCAACUUAUUAUUGUGUGAAGAUGGAGAGUCAGAGGUCCGUGUUUGGGAAUGGAGUCACUCUGACUUAUGAGGAGACGUACAGUAAGUGCUGCUUCAUGACACGCCGUCUCUGA